GACGAACGCUGGCGGCGUGCUUAACACAUGCAAGUCGAACGGCAAGGCCCUUCGGGGUACACGAGUGGCGAACGGGUGAGUAACACGUGGGUGAUCUGCCCUGCACUUCGGGAUAAGCCUGGGAAACUGGGUCUAAUACCGGAUAGGACCACUGCCUGCAUGGGUGGUGGUGGAAAGCUUUUGCGGUGUGGGAUGGGCCCGCGGCCUAUCAGCUUGUUGGUGGGGUGAUGGCCUACCAAGGCGACGACGGGUAGCCGGCCUGGGAGGGUGACCGGCCACACUGGGACUGAGAUACGGGCCAGACUCCUACGGGAGGCAGCAGUGGGGAAUAUUGCACAAUAGGCGCAAGCCUGAUGCAGCGACGCCGCGUGAGGGAUGACGGCCUUCGGGUUGUAAACCUCUUUCAGCACCGACGAAGCGCAAGUGACGGUAGGUGCAGAAGAAGGACCGGCCAACUACGUGCCAGCCGCCGCGGUAA
rnacentral:rRNA from 1 species